AUCGCAGCCUGCAACCCGGCUGCGUGAAGCUGGAAUCGCUAGUAAUCGCGGAUCAGAAUGCCGCGGUGAAUACGUUCCCGGGUCUUGUACACACCGCCCGUCACACCAUGGGAGCCGGAAACGCCCGAAGCCAGCGGCCCAACCGCGAGGAGGGAGCUGUCGAAGGCGGGUCCGGUGACCGGGGUGAAGUCGUAACAAGGUAAC
rnacentral:rRNA from 1 species